AUGUAUCGGCAUGGUACUUGGCGCCAUCACCAUGUAGUCGUACACAACAACAUAGUUGAACUUGAAGGUCAGUCUUACCGGUCUCGAUUCCGACUCGUGGAACUUGACCAAAAGCACGAUGAUAGCGAGGAACUGGAGGUGCACAUGCAGCAACUUGUUGUGGUUCUGACCACACAUGGUGGUCUCGAAGCUGAGGCCAACAGGGCAGCGACAGAGGUUGUGCACGGCAGCAGCGGGUCGGCCUUGGCGUCCAUGGCAGAUGAACACCGCCCGACAUGCGAGGUGGUGGCUUGGAGGUCGAUCGGACGAGGAGGCAAGGGCUCGUCCUCGUCCUCGUGA
rnacentral:rRNA from 1 species